GUGGGGAAUAUUGGACAAUGGGCGAAAGCCUGAUCCAGCCAUGCCGCGUGUGUGAAGAAGGUCUUCGGAUUGUAAAGCACUUUAAGUUGGGAGGAAGGGCAGUAAGUUAAUACCUUGCUGUUUUGACGUUACCGACAGAAUAAGCACCGGCUAACUUCGUGCCAGCAGCCGCGGUAAUACGAAGGGUGCAAGCGUUAAUCGGAAUUACUGGGCGUAAAGCGCGCGUAGGUGGUUCAGCAAGUUGGAGGUGAAAUCCCCGGGCUCAACCUGGGAACUGCCUCCAAAACUACUGAGCUAGAGUACGGUAGAGGGUAGUGGAAUUUCCUGUGUAGCGGUGAAAUGCGUAGAUAUAGGAAGGAACACCAGUGGCGAAGGCGACUACCUGGACUGAUACUGACACUGAGGUGCGAAAGCGUGGGGAGCAAACAGGAUUAGAUACCCCAGUAGUCC
rnacentral:rRNA from 1 species